GAGGGGCAGCAUAGUCUUCGGACUGAUGGCGACUGGCGGACGGGUGCGUAACGCGUAUGCAACUUACCUACAACAGGGGGAUAGCCCGUGGAAACAUGGAUUAAUACCCCAUAAAACAGGGGUACUGCAUGGUACUACUUGUUAAAGAUUUAUCGGUUGUAGAUGGGCAUGCGUCUGAUUAGCUAGUUGGUAGUGUAAAGGACUACCAAGGCGACGAUCAGUAGGGGUUCUGAGAGGAUGAUCCCCCACACUGUCACUGAGAUACGGGCCAGACUCCUACGGGAGGCAGCAGUAGGGAAUAUUGGUCAAUGGGCGAGAGCCUGAACCAGCCAUGCCGCGUGCAGGAAGACGGCCUUCUGGGUUGUAAACUGCUUUUAUCAAGGAAGAAAAUAGUCCUGCGGGGCAAAUUGACUGUACUUGAGGAAUAAGCACCGGCUAACUACGUGCCAGCAGCCGCGGUAAUACGUAGGGUGCGAGCGUUGUCCGGAUUUAUUGGGUUUAAAGGGUGCGUAGGCGGCCUGAUAAGUCAGUGGUGAAAUCCUGCAGCUCAACUGUAGAUGUGCCAUUGAUACUGUCAGGCUUGAGUACAGGCGAGGUAGGCGGAAUUUAUGGUGUAGCGGUGAAAUGCAUAGAUACCAUAAAGAACACCGAUAGUGAAGACAGCUUACUAGGCUGUAACUGACGCUGAGGCACGAAAGCGUGGGGAUCGA
rnacentral:rRNA from 1 species